UUUUUUUUCCCACCGGAGCUUGCUCCACCGGAAAAAGAGGAGUGGCGAACGGGUGAGUAACACGUGGGUAACCUGCCCAUCAGAAGGGGAUAACACUUGGAAACAGGUGCUAAUACCGUAUAACAAUCAAAACCGCAUGGUUUUGAUUUGAAAGGCGCUUUCGGGUGUCGCUGAUGGAUGGACCCGCGGUGCAUUAGCUAGUUGGUGAGGUAACGGCUCACCAAGGCCACGAUGCAUAGCCGACCUGAGAGGGUGAUCGGCCACAUUGGGACUGAGACACGGCCCAAACUCCUACGGGAGGCAGCAGUAGGGAAUCUUCGGCAAUGGACGAAAGUCUGACCGAGCAACGCCGCGUGAGUGAAGAAGGUUUUCGGAUCGUAAAACUCUGUUGUUAGAGAAGAACAAGGAUGAGAGUAACUGUUCAUCCCUUGACGGUAUCUAACCAGAAAG
rnacentral:rRNA from 1 species